rnacentral:rRNA from 1 species
UACGGGGGGGCAAGCGUUGUUCGGAAUUACUGGGCGUAAAGGGCUCGUAGGUGGCCAACUAAGUCAGACGUGAAAUCCCCAGGCUCAACUUGGGAACUGCGUCUGAUACUGGAUGGCUUGAAUUCGGGAGAGGGAUGCAGGAAUUCCAGGUUGUAGCGGUGAAAUGCGUAGAUAUCUGGAGGAAUACCGGUGGCGAAGGCGGCAUCCUGGACCGAGAUUGACACUGAUGAGCGAAAGCUAGGGGAGCAA